GCCGAUGUGGCUCAGUGGCAGAGCAAUUGAUUCGUAAUCAAUAGGUCGGCGGUUCGAAUCCGCCCAUCGGCUCCA
rnacentral:tRNA from 1 species